rnacentral:lncRNA from 1 species
GCGGAGAUGAUCUUGGGGAGGGAUUUGACGAAGGUAUUAAAGGUAGCUGACUCGGUCUUUUAGCUGUCGAAUAUAAACCAUUGCGCAUCAAACUUUCUAAAGCCUUUAAUUUUCGAAGAGGGGGAGGGAGAGGAGGAGAAAGGUGUUGGCUCUGGCUACCAUAGAUGGCAGAGUGGCCGAGGUCAAGAGCUAUAAGGGACAAGGAAUUAGGAUCCUUUUAUUAUCCCUAAAACAGUUAGUGGAUUUGGAAGAAAUGGUAAGUUAGUCUUUUAAGCCCGUCUGUUAAAAGUGUGUGGGGUCAGAUAGACGAUCAAACCACAUUGACACACAAAAAAGAAUGAGGGACUAAUUGAAAAUUUCUAAAUUUUGUGGCUCAAACUAUUUCUCGCAUAAAAUUGAAGGUGUCUUGCUGUAUUUCUCCUCAUG